UCCUUCUUUUCCUUAUAAAUCUCUCAAACUUCUCAUCCUUCUUCCCCAUGCAAUGCACCCUUUUGUUUUCUCUGCAUGGCCGUUCUUCACCCAACUGCUACAGAACACCACCCUCCCAACUUAACUGUUGUUUACUUUUUUAAAUAUUUUGUAAGGUUUCUCGGGUUUGAGAAACAAGGGAGCUCUCUUCAGUCCAGUCCAAGGCAGUUUUCUCGGUUGUUACUUAGCUGCUGACUCGUUGGCUCAAUAACUGAUCAACUGAUAUAUUAGCUUGAACAAUGAUGUGUUUCUGAACCAACGAUGCAGGAGCCAAGUUCAGCCAUGGCUGUCACGUCUUGGACUGAAGGGAGCUCCCUCACCUUCCACUACCUUUGUUUGUUUCUUUACCUUCAUAUUUCCAUUAACUUUAAGUUCCGUUCGAUAACCUUUAGUACGUUGAAAUCAAGUUUUUUAAAGAAUACUUUUACCUACAAAUAAGAUAAAGUUGGCAAAAGAUGUCUUCUGCUUUUGGACAGAAGAUAAAGGAACUGAGGCUUACUGGCUGUGAGAUCAUGAAGAUGCAGCAGAUCAUAAUUACGUUGAUGUCUUUUUCCACAAGUUCUCAUCUCAGACUUCCAAAUCACCACAAUCCAAUCCAAGGAAGAAGACCCUUUUCUCCAUAAAGUCAAAACUACAUGAGAAAUCUUGAAGUGGGUCAUAAAUUUAAACUCGAGAGAAAAUAAAGUAAUUUAAGUGGUUAUAAAGUUUUUCUUUUUAUCGUGAAAAAGAGGAAAUUGUUUAUCUUGAGUAAUGGCUUACGGAAUUUAAGCUCAUGACUUUUUCUUAAAUGGUUAGAAUUAUUACUGUCUUAGGUCAUGACCUUCUUUAGUACAAUUUUUUAGAAGGAUAAUUAAAUCUCAAACCCCAUAUGAAAUAGAAUAAUUAUGUCAAUUACUAUGAUUUAAACUCACUUUUGUAUUCUAUCUUCCUGUGCAUGUAUGGUACACAUCUUUGAAUUA